rnacentral:rRNA from 1 species
AGGACGAACGCUGGCGGCGUGCUUAACACAUGCAAGUCGAGCGGUAAGGCCUUUCGGGGUACACGAGCGGCGAACGGGUGAGUAACACGUGGGUGAUCUGCCCUGCACUUCGGGAUAAGCCUGGGAAACUGGGUCUAAUACCGGAUAUGACCUCCUAUCGCGUGGUGGGUGGUGGAAAGAUUUAUCGGUGCAGGAUGGGCCCGCGGCCUAUCAGCUUGUUGGUGGGGUAAUGGCCUACCAAGGCGACGACGGGUAGCCGACCUGAGAGGGUGACCGGCCACACUGGGACUGAGACACGGCCCAGACUCCUACGGGAGGCAGCAGUGGGGAAUAUUGCACAAUGGGCGAAAGCCUGAUGCAGCGACGCCGCGUGAGGGAUGACGGCCUUCGGGUGUAAACCGUCUUUCAGCAGGACGAAGCGCAAGUGACGGUACCUGCAGAAGAAGCGACGACUAACUACGUGCCAGCAGCCGC